rnacentral:rRNA from 1 species
CCUACGGGCGGCUGCAGUGAGGAAUAUUGGUCAAUGGGCGAGAGCCUGAACCAGCCAAGUCGCGUGAGGGAGUACUGCCCUAUGGGUUGUAAACCUCGUUUGUCGGGGAGCAAAAGCCGGACGUGUCCGGCUGUGAGAGUACCCGAAGAAAAAGCCUCGGCUAACUCGGUGCAAGCAGCCGCGGUAAUAGGGAGGAUGCGAGCGUUAUCCGGAUUCAUGGGGUUUAAGGGGUGCGCAGGCGGAUUUUUAAGUCAGAGGUAAAAGCGUGGGGCUCAACCCCAUCCAGCCGGUGAAACUGGGGAUCUAGAGUGUGCGAGAGGUAGGCGGAAUGCGUGGUGUAGCGGUGAAAUGCAUAGAUAUCACGCAGAACCCCGAUGGCGAGGGCAGCAUACCGGUGCACAACUGACGCUCAGGCACGAAAGCGUGGGUAUCGAACAGGAUUAGAUACCCUAGUAGUC